rnacentral:rRNA from 2 species
UACGAAGGGGGCAAGCGUUGUUCGGAAUUACUGGGCGUAAAGGGCGCGUAGGCGGCCGAUCAAGUCAGGCGUGAAAUUCCCGGGCUCAACCUGGGGGCUGCGCUUGAUACUGAUUGGCUUGAAUGCGGGAGAGGAUAGUGGAAUUCCCAGUGUAGAGGUGAAAUUCGUAGAUAUUGGGAAGAACACCGGUGGCGAAGGCGGCUAUCUGGCCCGUAAUUGACGCUGAGGCGCGAAAGCGUGGGGAGCAAACAGG